rnacentral:lncRNA from 1 species
GCGGCGUUGGCGUUCGCGUCUGCGAGGAGCGAGACCCAGGCGGAAAAGGAGUCUGACGAGCAGACAAAAGAGCGAGAGGGGCUGGGGACAAAGUUCUCCGAUGGCCUCGGAGGUUUCGAGCAGCCGGCAGAGAAAGAAAAUAUUUGGGCAGUCUGAGCAAAAGCACUGUCUCUCCCAGGAGUUAUGUAAUUUUCCCACAGCGUUGGCCUCCGUGCCUUGAGUUCGGGCCAUCAGCUAAUUCUCAUAACUUCUUCCAAUUGCAACGUUAGGGACGACUGUAAGUGAAGGUUAGCCGUGUUCCAAGAGCUCUAUGCCCUGUACACAGCAGGAGCUCAAUAAAUGCUUAAGAUUUGACUACAACUGUCCCAUAGGUAAUGUUUAUAUAACUCUUGUUAAAGAACCUGGAGUAGGUAUGAAACUCAAAGUAUUCCCAGAAGAGUAUUUUUCUUACAUUGCACUUCCAUGUCCUCACAAUGUGUAGAGUGGUGUGUCAUGCACCCCACACUAACGUUUAACUGCUGGUGCCCUAAUAGAGACAGCUAUGUUUUAUCUAAUAUCUUCAUAAAUCCAUAUGACCCUUUUCGUUAUAUUUCAGAGGUUAAUAUGUGCAAUUAACCUCUUGAUGUGAGUUCAUUUCUAAAUAAAACAAAAUAG